rnacentral:rRNA from 1 species
UACGUAGGGUGCAAGCGUUAAUCGGAAUUACUGGGCGUAAAGCGUGCGCAGGCGGCUUUGCAAGACAGAUGUGAAAUCCCCGGGCUCAACCUGGGAACUGCCUUUGUGACUGCAAGGCUUGAGUGCGGCAGAGGGGGAUGGAAUUCCGCGUGUAGCAGUGAAAUGCGUAGAUAUGCGGAGGAACACCGAUGGCGAAGGCAAUCCCCUGGGCCUGCACUGACGCUCAUGCACGAAAGCGUGGGGAGCAAACAGG